rnacentral:sRNA from 1 species
CCGGAAGUGACGCGACACGACCGGUGAAAAGGCGGUGCUGAGGGUUGUAGGUGCGGGAUGUGUGGUUUUCUCUGGCUUGUCAGGCUUUGAACAGGUAGCCUUCUUGUGGAACAGAUCUCUCUCUCUCUCUCUCUCGAGCUUUCAGCCGGCUUGGCGCCCUGGCUUGCAAAAGACUUGAAGCCACGGUCUGAUCUAAGGGUCAUAGCAGAACCUAUUGCUGGUUGCAUAGAGACUGCUUCUUCGGUGAUCUGCUUCGGAACCAGAGGCCUGCUCCUUCCAAAAGCACAUCUACAGGAACCUUAGCUUCUGUGGAGAAGAGGCUGAUAAGCUGGAUGCUCCAAGCCGCUUCAUUCUCUUGCUUCCUAAAAGGAGAGGAGUGAGUCAUCUCCGCCCAUAGAUGGCCUAGGGGAGGGCACGAGUGUCAUUAGACCCUUUCAUCUGAGCUCUGCCUGCUGCUAGCUGGUACUCUGAUCUGCUUCCCUGUAAAUCAAGUCAUCCCCACCAGAAGAAUUGAGUUGAAGACCUGCAUGUGAAUAAGGAGGAAUGUUGAUCGACAGGGAUGGCAUAACCAAAUACUCCAAGCUUAAGUGGCUUAAAGAACAGAAAUCUGUCUUGAAGGAAGCUCCAAAUCAAGUGGCUGCUAAGCUUGAGUUCUCUUGAGACCAAAAGAGCAAUGUGCACCUUCUCUUCCCCAGGCUGCUGCUGUGGGCCCUUGCUGGAGCAUCACCCCCUGCACUUGACAUUCCCCCAUGUACAACUUUCUCACUGUAGGAGAGCACUAGUCCUUUUACAGCUGCUGGAUGCUGUCCUCCAAGCGUCCUUUCAGUUUACAUCAAAUGUACUAAUCUUGAGACCUUCCAGAUGAGUCUGUUGACAGUCUCUCAUAGGAGGGUCAGCUGGGCCAGGAGAGACGGCUCAGCGGUUAAGAGCAUUGACUGCUCCUCCAGAGGUGCUGAGUUCAAUUCCCAGCAACCACAU